rnacentral:lncRNA from 1 species
AUAUUCCGAGAGACAACGCGGAUUUCAGGUCGGAGGAUUUUCGUUUCUGACAUGUGUGGAGUCAUGUGGCAGUUAAACACCACAUUUGAUGACCCGAGAAGAACAUUGCAACUAUGCACCACAUUUGUUGACCUAAGAAAAUUGCUGUAGAAGAAAUAGCCAGAGUGAGGUGCUCAAGGAAGCUGAGUAUUGAGAUUUUAUGACAGCAGUAUCUGCAUAAAGGAUUCUAUUGUGCACCUGCAAAUCAGGACUAUUCCAGUAAAACCCAGUGUGCCAGUGCAGAUAUUGGAUCUUCCCAGCUUGUCAUGUGUUUUGGAGUGUUGGUAAAGAAUCUGUAAUUGGCACAAUCGUCUUAAAACAGCAUUUCUAGGUUUAGAUACUGUAGCAUCGUUACCUGAGACUCUUACAAUAAAACCAAGUGAUACUAUGCCACUAAAGCGGACUAUUCAUUCUGGCAGAAGAGUCAAGUUCCCUAAGUAUCUCUAGCCCCUCAUGCCUUUGGCAUGCAUGAGUGAGGGGGGCGGGGGAGUAUUGUGGUGGAGUAUUUGCAUUUUCCCACUUGCAUUCAGCAUUCAAGUUCCUGCGCUAUACUGGUGCACACUCACUGUAGUUGCGAAUAUAAAAACUGAAUUUUUCGCUAACAGUCUCUCUUGCUUUAGCACCUGUUCCUGUUUCUCCGAGGUCGAGAUUUAAUAUUGACUUUCACCAUGUGUUUAGUUUCAUAUUUUACUUUUCUUUUUAUUUAAAAUAAAGUUAUUUUUAUGUUUUGCCAAAGUUCUCGACCUUCCUUUAAAUGCACCU